rnacentral:rRNA from 1 species
CAACCCUGGUGGCGAGUGGCGAACGGGUGAGUAAUACAUCGGAACGUGUCCUGUAGUGGGGGAUAGCCCGGCGAAAGCCGGAUUAAUACCGCAUACGCUCUACGGAGGAAAGGGGGGGAUCUUAGGACCUCCCGCUACAGGGGCGGCCGAUGGCAGAUUAGCUAGUUGGUGGGGUAAAGGCCUACCAAGGCGACGAUCUGUAGCUGGUCUGAGAGGACGACCAGCCACACUGGGACUGAGACACGGCCCAGACUCCUACGGGAGGCAGCAGUGGGGAAUUUUGGACAAUGGGGGAAACCCUGAUCCAGCAAUGCCGCGUGUGUGAAGAAGGCCUUCGGGUUGUAAAGCACUUUUGUCCGGAAAGAAAACCUCUGGGUUAAUACCCCGGGGGGAUGACGGUACCGGAAGAAUAAGCACCGGCUAACUACGUGCCAGCAGCCGCGGUAAUACGUAGGGUGCAAGCGUUAAUCGGAAUUACUGGGCGUAAAGCGUGCGCAGGCGGUCCGCUAAGACAGAUGUGAAAUCCCCGGGCUUAACCUGGGAACUGCAUUUGUGACUGGCGGGCUAGAGUAUGGCAGAGGGGGGUAGAAUUCC